rnacentral:rRNA from 1 species
AGUCACUGACAUUAGAUACCCCUGUAGUCCAGGGUGUAAACGCUGCAGACUUGGUGUUGGAAGCCCUUUGGGGCAUUCAGUGCCGGAGAGAAGUUGUUAAGUCUGCUACUUGGGAGUACGUCCGCAAGGAUGAAACUUAAAGGAAUUGGCGGGGGAGCACCGCAACGGGAGGAGCGUGCGGUUUAAUUGGAUUCAACACCGUAAAACUCACCAGGGAAGACUGUUACAUGAAGGCCGAGAUGAAGACUCUGCUAGAUUUUCAG